rnacentral:rRNA from 1 species
UACGGAGGGGGCAAGCGUUAUCCGGAUUUACUGGGUGUAAAGGGAGCGUAGGCGGCUUAGUAAGUCAGAAGUGAAAGCCCGCAGCUCAACUGCGGGACUGCUUUUGAAACUGCCAAGCUAGAGUGUCGGAGAGGUAAGUGGAAUUCCUAGUGUAGCGGUGGAAUGCGUAGAUAUUAGGAGGAACACCAGAGGCGAAGGCGACUCACUGGACUGUAACUGACGCUGAGGCUCGAAAGCGUGGGGAGCAAACAGG